rnacentral:rRNA from 1 species
GAUGAACGCUAGCUACAGGCUUAACACAUGCAAGUCGAGGGGAAACGGCAUUAAGUGCUUGCACUUUUUGGACGUCGACCGGCGCACGGGUGAGUAACGCGUAUCCAACCUUCCCAUGACUAAGGGAUAACCUGCCGAAAGGCAGACUAAUACCUUAUGGUCUUCACUGACGGCAUCAGAUGUGAAGUAAAGAUUUAUCGGUUAUGGAUGGGGAUGCGUCUGAUUAGCUUGUUGGCGGGGUAACGGCCCACCAAGGCAACGAUCAGUAGGGGUUCUGAGAGGAAGGUCCCCCACAUUGGAGCCGAGACACGGACCAAACCCCUACGGGAGGCAGCAGUGAGUAAUACAGUGGGAGGGGCGCGAGCCUGAACCAGCCGAGUAGCGUGCAGGAUGCCGGCCAUAUGGGUUGUAAACUGCUUUUGUAUGGGGAUAAAGUCAAUCACGUGUGAUUGUUUGCAGGUACCAUACGAAUAAGGACCGGCUAACUCCGUG